rnacentral:rRNA from 1 species
GACGAAGGGGGCUAGCGUUGUUCGGAAUUACUGGGCGUAAAGGGCGCGUAGGCGGUGCCUCGAGUCAGGCGUGAAAGCCCCGGGCUCAACCUGGGAACCGCGCUUGAGACUGGAGUGCUAGAGUUCGGGAGAGGAUGGUGGAAUUCCGAGUGUAGAGGUGAAAUUCGUAGAUAUUGGGAAGAACACCGAUGGCGAAGGCAGCCAUCUGGACCGACACUGACGCUGAGGCGCGAAAGCGAGGGGAGCGAACGGG